UACAGAGGUCCCGAGCGUUGUUCGGAUUCACUGGGCGUAAAGGGUGCGUAGGUGGCAUGGAAAGUUUGAUGUGAAAGCUCAGGGCUUAACCCUGAAAUGGCAUUGAAUACUGCUGUGCUGGAGGUUUGGAGGGGGGACUGGAAUUCUUGGUGUAGCAGUGAAAUGCGUAGAUAUCUGAAGGAACAUCAGUGGCGAAAGCGACUUCCUGGACCAGAACUGACGAUCAGGCACGAAAGCGUGGGGAGCAAACAGG
rnacentral:rRNA from 1 species